rnacentral:rRNA from 1 species
GCGGAAGGAUCAUUACCGAGUUUUCGGGCUUCGGCUCGACUCUCCCACCCUUUGUGAACGUACCUCUGUUGCUUUGGCGGCUCCGGCCGCCAAAGGACCUCCAAACUCCAGUCAGUAAACGCAGACGUCUGAUAAACAAGUUAAUAAACUAAAACUUUCAACAACGGAUCUCUUGGUUCUGGCAUCGAUGAAGAACGCAGCGAAAUGCGAUAAGUAAUGUGAAUUGCAGAAUUCAGUGAAUCAUCGAAUCUUUGAACGCACAUUGCGCCCCUUGGUAUUCCGGGGGGCAUGCCUGUUCGAGCGUCAUUACAACCCUCAAGCUCUGCUUGGAAUUGGGCACCGUCCUCACUGCGGACGCGCCUCAAAGACCUCGGCGGUGGCUGUUCAGCCCUCAAGCGUAGUAGAAUACACCUCGCUUUGGAGUGGUUGGCGUCGCCCGCCGGACGAACCUUCUGAACUUUUCUCAAGGUUGACCUCGGAUCAGGUAGGGAUACCCGCUGAACUUAAGCAUAUC